CUUUGAAAAACUGAUUUAAAUUCAAAAAUAUUUGGAUGGAGUAAAAAAGUGUGGGGAUGUUUUUGUUCUACAAAUAAACACUGAAUCCAACCAGUUAAAUUUGGAUAUGGCUGUAGAAGACAAUUUUCCCUAAAUUAGAAGUCGAAAACACAAAAUAAUGCUAGGAGAGUUAUAGAAAAUUAUAAUUAAUAAUCAACUUCAACAAUUUUCAGUUGAUGUACAUAAUAUAACUCUUGAUACUACCAUGGAAAGUUUGAAAAAAUUUCUUAAAUGUCAAGACUUAUUACUGAUUUAUCAAGCCUUUCAUCAACAAACUUCAAAAAAUAAAAAUGCUGCAAAUGAAAAUAUGAAAAAUGAGCUUAUAAGUUUUGCAGAGAAUUCUGAAUUAGCACAAAUUAAAAAAAAAGUAUUCCUGAAACGUAUGCAACAAUCAUUUAUAUAAAAAACAACAAUGAAAAAGAAGUAUUGGCAAAAAAUAACAAUGAUUGAAAAUCAUUUUGUUUUUUUAACAAUCAACUACUGUUAUAUUUUGAUCACAAUCUAUUAAAUAAUGAGCGGAAACACUAGCUCACACGACAACUCAGGGUCUAAGCAUUUUGCAGAAAAUCCCCAAGGAACAACGACCGCCUCUACAUCUACUUCAAGUAAUCUGGAAGACCCAUCGCCAACUAUAUCAAUUUUUGUCGUGAGUUUUGAGUGUUCCGUUUGCCUUAAAAAGAUAAUGGAGGUACGCUCAAAACUAUGUCAGCACAAAUCCUGUCUAAACUGUGUCCCAAUGCAGUGUACUGUGGCCUGUAGAGACUCACUUCUUGACACAAUAGACAGACCUGAAUUGUAUGACAAAGUUAUGGAUGGUUACGAAUUGACUUGUUCUGAUUUAGCAAAGGUGGUACCAAAGAAGAAGAGGCAAUAUCCUGAACAGGAUUAAAUUCUAUUAAAAUAAACAAAAACGGAGAAGAAAAGACUGUUAAAGAUGGGAUCAGUUAUUUUCUUCAAAAGAAACUACUACACAUCGACAUCGAUAUAAAAUGAUGACUUUAAGUACAAAAUAAUUUUAAUUAUAUUAGGUACCUACACAUUAUAAUAUUAUAUUAUACUAUUAUAUACUAUAUACAAAUUAUAUUACGUAUGUACCUAUAAUAAUGAUUUUUGGAUAA